rnacentral:rRNA from 1 species
AACGAACGCUGGCGGCAGGCUUAACACAUGCAAGUCGAACGCAUCCUUCGGGGUGAGUGGCAGACGGGUGAGUAACGCGUGGGAACGUGCCCUUCAGUUCGGGAUAACCCAGGGAAACUUGGGCUAAUACCGGAUACGUGCGAGAGCAGAAAGAUUUAUCGCUGAAGGAUCGGCCCGCGUCUGAUUAGCUAGUUGGUGGGGUAAUGGCCCACCAAGGCGACGAUCAGUAGCUGGUCUGAGAGGAUGAUCAGCCACAUUGGGACUGAGACACGGCCCAAAACCCUACGGGAGGCAGCAGUGGGGAAUAUUGGACAAUGGGCGCAAGCCUGAUCCAGCCAUGCCGCGUGAGUGAUGAAGGCCUGAGGGUUGUAAAGCUCUUUCGUCCGGGACGAUAAUGACGGUACCGGAAGAAGAAGCCCCGGCUAACUUCGUGCCAGCAGCCGCCGUAA